rnacentral:rRNA from 1 species
UGGGGGAUAUUGCACAAUGGGCGAAAGCCUGAUGCAGCGACGCCGCGUGGGGGAUGAAGGCCUUCGGGUUGUAAACUUCUUUUGCUCUGAACAAGGCAUGCUAAUGGGUGUGUUGAGUGUAGGGGUUGAUUAGCGCCGGCUAACUACGUGCCAGCAGCCGCGGUAAUACGUAGGGCGCGAGCGUUGUCCGGAAUUAUUGGGCGUAAAGGGCUUGUAGGUGGCUGGUUGCGUCUGUCGUGAAAGCUCAUGGCUUAACUGUGGGUUUGCGGUGGGUACGGGCUGGCAUGAGUGCAGUAGGGGAGGCUGGAAUUCCUGGUGUAGCGGUGGAAUGCGCAGAUAUCAGGAGGAAUACCGGUGGCGAAGGCGGGUCUCUGGGCUGUUACUGACACUGAGGAGCGAAAGCAUGGGGAGCGAACAGG